UACGGAAGGGCAGCAGUGGGGAAUAUUGCACAAUGGGCGCAAGCCUGAUGCAGCCAUGCCGCGUGUAUGAAGAAGGCCUUCGGGUUGUAAAGUACUUUCAGUCGUGAGGAAGGUGUUAAGGUUAAUAACCUUAGCAAUUGACGUUAGCGACAGAAGAAGCACCGGCUAACUCCGUGCCAGCAGCCGCGGUAAUACGGAGGGUGCGAGCGUUAAUCGGAAUUACUGGGCGUAAAGGGCACGCAGGCGGUUAAUUAAGUUGGAUGUGAAAUCCCCGGGCUUAACCUGGGAAUGGCAUUCAAGACUGGUUAGCUAGAGUCUUGUAGAGGGGGUAGAAUUCCAUGUGUAGCGGUGAAAUGCGUAGAGAUGUGGAGGAAUACCGGUGGCGAAGGCGGCCCCUGGACAAGACUGACGCUCAUGUGCGAAAGCGUGGGGAGCAAA
rnacentral:rRNA from 1 species